rnacentral:lncRNA from 1 species
UUAUAUGGACCUUCUCGAACAUAAAUAUUGGUGCAAGAACCAUUUUUAUCUUCACCACCUUUAGCUUCAUGCCCCUCGUUUCAUUUCCCACGCCUAGCUAAGAUCUGCUCUUGCGGCACCUUUUUGCUGCUACAAACUCCAACGGAUUAAAUAGAAGGAGGGUUUAAUCCAUGGUAUCGAUCAGUAGCGUCCUGUGAAAAUAUGAGGCCCAGUUUAGAGCACUAAGUAGAGGCCUAAUAUCGAAUACCAAAACAAAAAAACUAAUGACGCUUAUGAAAUGGUUGUAUUGGGAAAACAUUC